ACUGUUAAUAGUCAGUGUUCUGUGGAACUCUUUAUGCAAAAAGGCAAAGAUGCAAACAACAACAUUGUUCUCAUUUACCUCUGGAGGUAUCUCACUAUGCAGAUAGUUCUGAUCGUAUCUGAACCAGACUGGUCUCUGCCUCCACCCCUGUGCAGCUGUCGUCAGUGCUGCUCGUUGUGGAAACUGUUGGGUUUCUCUAUAAUUUUACAAGGCUGUAACCCCACUGGAUAUUGAAGCCUGCCUUCAGGUAUCCAGUGUUCAUCUUUACAACAUGGACGUGUUCAUGGAGACACAAUCUGCACCACAUGUCUCAGAUCCAGUCCUUCUAGGCCCGAGCACCAACUCAGCCCCAGCAUGUUGUGUGUUUCCUGAUCUCAACCAAAAAUAACAGCUCUA